AACGAACGCUGGCGGCAUGCCUAACACAUGCAAGUCGAACGAGACCUUCGGGUCUAGUGGCGCACGGGUGCGUAACGUGUGGGAACCUGCCCUUAGGUUCGGAAUAACUCCCCGACAUGGGUGCUAAUAUCGGAUAAUUUCUUCUGACCAAAGAUUUAUCGCCAUUGGAUGGGCCCGCGUUGGAUUAGCCUGUUGGUAGUGUAAAAGCCUAUCACGGGGAGGCUACAUAGCUGGUCUGAGAGAAAGAUCAGCGACACUGGGGCUGAGACACGGCCCAGAAUCCUACGGGAGGGGGGAGAGGGGGAUAUAGGAAAACGGGGGAAAGCAUGAACGAGCAAGGCCGGGUGAGUGAUGAAGGCGGUAGAGAUGAAAAGCUCUUUUACACGGGAUGAUAAUGACGGUACCGGGAGAAUAAGCACCGGCUAACUCCGUG
rnacentral:rRNA from 1 species